rnacentral:rRNA from 1 species
AUUGAACGCUGGCGGCAGGCCUAACACAUGCAAGUCGAGCGGAUGAAGGGAGCUUGCUCCUGGAUUCAGCGGCGGACGGGUGAGUAAUGCCUAGGAAUCUGCCUGGUAGUGGGGGAUAACGUCCGGAAACGGGCGCUAAUACCGCAUACGUCCUGAGGGAGAAAGUGGGGGAUCUUCGGACCUCACGCUAUCAGAUGAGCCUAGGUCGUAUUAGCUAGUUGGUGGGGUAAAGGCCUACCAAGGCGACGAUGCGUAACUGGUCUGAGAGGAUGAUCAGUCACACUGGAAGUGAGACACGGCCCAGAGUCCUACGGGAGGCAGAAGUGGGGAAGAUUGGACAAUGGGCGAAAGCCUGAUCCAGCCAUGCCGCGUGUGUGAAGAAGGUCUUCGGAUUGUAAAGCACUUUAAGUUGGGAGGAAGGGCAGUAAGUUAAUACAUUGCUGUUUUGACGUUACCAACAGAAUAAGCACCGGCUAACUUCGUG